ACCGGUUGCCACUGUGCCGGGUGGAAGCCAAAGACGGGCAACAACGGUAUCGCCUGUGCCACGUGGACACACAAAGCGAUAAUAUACCCAAAAGGCCAAAACCUCCUCUUGACGUGUACCAGUAACCGUAGCCUCCCUAUAAAUACUCCUUCCUCUCAUCUUUUUCAUUCUCAUCCAUUUGUCUUUCUCGUUCUUUUAUUCUUCUUAUAACAGAUAGAGACACUUACAGACCCAUAAAACACAUACCUGAAUUCGGGAUCCAAGGUUCUGGCCAACCGGGAACUCCUUUUGAUCUAGGGUUUUCAGAUUCAAUCCUACACUUCCUCUGUUCUCUCUUCAUUUCAGUUUCGGAUCGGACGCCCCGUUUUGGAGAUCCGAUUGCUUCUCUUGUUCUUGGCUCGAGAUCCGGGCCAAGCACAGGAGUGUCGGAUUCCGGUUUUUCGAUUGAAUCCUCCUCAACUAUACUUGCGUAAGCGUACAGGUUAGGUUUAGUGACUGUAUAGAAUUGGCAAAGCUCAAAUGGCGUCCAGUGAGGGAUUUCUGACGGAAGAGCAGAGGGAAAUGAUGAAAAUAGCGAGUAUAAAUAUGGAUAAUUUAUCAUCCUCCCUGAAGAAUUCGUCAUCAUCGCCAAAAUCCCCGUCAAUGUUACUUUCUGAACAUCCGUUAAAAGUUCCUGCUUCUGGCGAGGCAACGAAUGCUGGAAUUGCAGUGAGGCACGUGCGAAGGUCGCACUCGGGCAAAUAUGUGCGUGUGAAGAAGGAUGGCGCUGGUGGUAAGGGCACAUGGGGAAAAUUGCUUGACACAGAUGGUGAAUCCCAUAUUGAUCGAAAUGAUCCCAACUAUGACAGUGGAGAGGAGCCAUAUCAGCUUGUCGGAGCAACUAUUUCAGAUCCUUUAGAUGAGUACAAAAAGGCUGUUGCUUCCAUAAUAGAGGAGUACUUCAGUACUGGUGAUGUGGAAGUGGCAGCAUCUGACCUCAGAGAACUUGGCUCAAGUGAAUAUCAUCCUUAUUUUAUUAAGCGUCUUGUUUCCAUGGCCAUGGACAGGCAUGAUAAGGAGAAGGAAAUGGCUUCUGUUCUGCUAUCUGCACUAUAUGCUGACGUGAUAAGCCCAUCCCAGAUUAGGGAUGGUUUUGUCAUACUUUUAGAGUCAGCUGAUGACCUUGCAGUAGACAUACUAGAUGCAGUUGACAUCCUUGCUCUGUACAUAGCUCGUGCCGUGGUAGAUGAUAUUCUUCCUCCAGCUUUCCUCACUAGGGCAAAGAAGACCCUUCCUGAGUCCUCAAAGGGAUUUCAGGUUCUCCAAACUGCUGAGAAGAGCUAUCUGUCAGCCCCACACCAUGCUGAGCUUGUGGAGAGGAGGUGGGGUGGUAGUACUCACAUCACCGUUGAGGAGGUAAAGAAGAAGAUUGCUGACCUGUUGAGGGAAUAUGUGGAAAGUGGGGAUGCUUUUGAGGCUUGCAGGUGCAUAAGGGGAUUGGGGGUUUCAUUCUUCCAUCAUGAAGUUGUUAAGAGGGCUUUAAUUCUUGCCAUGGAGAUUCGAACUGCAGAACCACUUAUAUUAAAGCUACUGAAGGAGGCUUCCGAGGAAGGCCUGAUAAGUUCCAGUCAAAUGGUGAAGGGGUUUGCUCGGUUAGCGGAGAGCCUUGAUGACCUUGCCCUUGAUAUUCCAUCUGCAAAAGCCUUGUUCCAAUCCCUUGUUCCCAAGGCUAUUUCUGAGGGUUGGCUGGAUGCUUCAUUCAUGAGGUCAUCUAGUGAAGAUGGACAAGUACUAGCUGAAGACAAAAAGGUUAGAAAAUAUAAGGAGGAGGUUGUAACAAUAAUUCAUGAGUAUUUUCUCUCUGAUGACAUUCCAGAACUUAUACGGAGUCUUGAAGAUCUUGGCAUGCCUGAGUUUAACCCAAUUUUCCUGAAAAAGCUCAUCACCCUUGCUAUGGAUAGGAAGAACAGGGAAAAAGAAAUGGCAUCUGUUCUGCUUUCAGCUCUUCACAUUGAGAUUUUUUCAACUGAAGAUAUAGUUAAUGGCUUUGUUAUGCUUCUGGAAUCCGCAGAAGAUACAGCGCUGGAUAUUUUGGAUGCUUCAAAUGAACUUGCCCUCUUUCUGGCUAGGGCAGUGAUUGAUGAUGUAUUGGCUCCACUGAAUUUGGAGGAGAUAGGUAGCAAGCUGCCGCCGAAUUGCAGUGGGAGCGAGACAGUGCAUAUGGCUCGAUCACUUAUUGCUGCUCGACAUGCAGGCGAGAGACUCCUUAGGUGUUGGGGAGGUGGGACUGGUUGGGCUGUGGAGGAUGCAAAAGACAAGAUAUUGAAGUUAUUAGAGGAGUAUGAAAGUGGGGGGGUUGUCAGUGAGGCUUGCCAGUGUAUCCGUGAUCUUGGGAUGCCCUUCUUUAAUCAUGAGGUGGUGAAGAAGGCAUUAGUUAUGGCCAUGGAGAAGAAGAACGAUAGGAUACUUGAUCUGCUACAGGAGUGUUUCAAUGAAGGUCUGAUUACUAUCAAUCAGAUGACCAAAGGCUUUACCCGCAUCAAGGAUGGGCUUGAUGAUCUCGCUCUUGACAUUCCAAAUGCAAAGGAGAAAUUCAGUUUCUAUGUGGACUAUGCCCAGAAGAAAGGGUGGCUCCAAGCAUCUUUCGGGUUGUCUGUUGCAGAUGCAACUUCAACCUUAGCAAAAGCUACUUGAGAUGAACAUAUGUCCGUUAGUUUCUCUCGUGUCUGUUGUUGCCCAUUACCUCUUUGUACUGUUUAAUCUUCUCUGUGCUUCAAAGGUGGAUAGAUAGAUAUGAUGUUUGAAUAUCUUCUGAUUUUUUUUUUUUUUGGGUCUUUCGUUAUCUAGUGAUCAUCUGAUGGAGAUUCAUGUGAUCCCAGCCAAUGUAUAAAGUUGGUUCCUUGUUAUUACCGUUAACAUAGCUUUAGGAGUAUCUUGCAUCAAGAAGUAAGUUGAAGAAGGGGAUAUGACAUGAUGCUGCUAUUACAUGCAUUAUGAUGAUUAGGUUGGUAGUUUUUUUUCCCCACGGAAGCGUUAUUGGUUAUGUCCUUCAUUUUCACAUUGCUAUUCAUUUUUUAUUGAGUA